GAUCAUUUUAUUUAGCGUUCAUGUAAACAAUACAUUCAGAUUCAUCAAUCGGAAUGAAUUCAGUCCAAUUGAACCAAAAAUUGUGCAUGUAAAUGUAGCCACUGAAGACCAGAGUAAUACAGUAAAUAUGGAAAAUAAUUGCCCCCCUUUAAAAUAAUCACAUUUUGUUGGUUUGAAGAUGGACACAGCUUUUGUUUUAUCCAGCUGUAUUUACUCAGUGCAACUUGUAACAUCCAAGUGAAUGAUAUAACACAUCCAAAAACCAAUCACUGAGUUAGAAAAAGGAUCACCCCCUUGUUGUCAGUAUUUUGUUGAACCUUUUGACUUAAUUACAGCCUUUAGUCUGGUGGGAUAUGUCUCUGUCUCUACAAACUGCACAUCUAGACUUUGCAAUAUUUGCCUACAUUUCUUUGCAGAACCGUUCAAAUUCAUUUCAAUUUGUUGCUGGCCAUUUGUGGACUGUAGUCUUCAAGUGAUUCCACAGAUUUUCAGUGAGGUUAAAGUCUUGUCUCUGACUCUGUCAUGCAAGGACAAUCACCUUUUUCUCCUUUCAGGUUUCAAUCACUGUGUUCUCAGUUCUGCUGUGUGCUUUGGGUCAUUGCCAUGCUGGAAGUUAAACCUUCUUCCCAUUGAUAACUUUCUGGCAGAGGGCAGCAGAUUUUUCUCAAGAAUUUGACCAUUUUUUGCCCCAUCCAUUGUUCCUUCUAUCCUGGCAUGUGCUCCAGUCUCUGCUGCAGAGAAACCCCCAUAACAGGAUACUACACCUCCAUUCUUUACUGUAUGAUUUCUGUUAUUUAGAUGGUGAGCUGUAUUGGAUUUCUUCUGGACAUCUCGUUUGGUGUUGAGGCCAAAUAAUUCAGUUUUAGUCUCAGCUGCCUCAGAAUCUUCAAGCCCUCCCAUAUAAGCCACAUUUGUGGAAAAUUUGUGAUGUUGUUGGCACAUGCACACAAUCAUAAAUUGUAAAAUUUAUGCAACUGCUUCAGAGUUGUUGUAGGCCUGAGCAGUUUCCUCCUGGCUCUUUCAUCCAGUUUGGAGCAACAUCCUGAUUCAGAGAGAUCUUUUGACAGUCCUUGCCACCCAUAGUGGAUUGUUUGCUUCAGUUGCACUGCCAAUAACUGAAAUGCUCCUGGAAAGCUCUUUUC